AUGAAAAUUAAAGUCUAUUAAAGAUUUUCCCCCAAAUCUAAAGUUAACAUUUUUCCAAAUCCUCAUGCGAACAAGGUUAUCUCCAUCCGACCAUCUUCAUCCGACCAUCUUCAUCUGACCAUCUCCCGGUGUCGUCACUGCCACCGCCCCCUCAUGCCCGUCUCUUCACUCCAAACCCUCACAAAAUGGCUUUGCUUUCAUAAUGAUUUUCUCUUUGGAAGGAGCAGGCGAAGAAAUUUUUUUAUGGAGGAAGAAUUGAUUAUCAGGAUGCGGAUGCAGCCAUCCCAGCUAUAUCAUUGGCCAUGGCACAGGUUAGGGCUACGGCUGUGGUAGCAUUAAUUGCCAAGGAUAUGGCUUCGCAUUGAACAUUUGUUACGGUAUGGGCUGAAUUGUUCUAAAUUUGAAAUUACUGGACUAAUUUGUUACUAACUUGAGAGUACAUUAUUGUAUAUUUUGAUGUUUUAGGAUUAAAUUGUUGUUUGUAUUCAUUAAUUAGCUAUGAAUAUAUUUUAUGUUGCCUAUUAGAUAA